AUUGAACGCUGGCGGCAGGCCUAACACAUGCAAGUCGAGCGGUAGAGAGGUGCUUGCAUCUCUUGAGAGCGGCGGACGGGUGAGUAAUGCCUAGGAAUCUGCCUAGUGGUGGGGGAUAACGUUCGGAAACGGACGCUAAUACCGCAUACGUCCUACGGGAGAAAGCGGGGGGAGUCUUCGGACCUCGCGCCAUUAGAUGAGCCUAGGUCGGAUUAGCUAGUUGGUGAGGUAAUGGCUCACCAAGGCGACGAUCCGUAACUGGUCUGAGAGGAUGAUCAGUCACACUGGAACUGAGACACGGUCCAGACUCCUACGGGAGGCAGCAGUGGGGGAAUAUUGGACAAUGGGCGAAAGCCUGAUCCAGCCAUGCCGCGUGUGUGAAGAAGGUCUUCGGAUUGUAAAGCAC
rnacentral:rRNA from 1 species